AAAACGGUUCUUUUAAGAACCACAUUUUAUAAAAGAAUUUAAA
rnacentral:ncRNA from 1 species